GUUAAAAAGCUCGUAGUCGGAUUUCAGUAGUAGUCGGCUGUUCUUGUUUGAUACGGCUUCCUAUUACUUCUUUGACAGAAACAUUCAUGUUAUUGAUUUAGCGUGUUUUGGGACUGUCUCUUUUACUUUGAGAAAAUUAGAGUGUUCAAAGCAGGUUCUCGCCUGAAUAUUACUCUUGGAAUAAUGAUAUAGGACUCAGGUUCAUAUUUGUUGGUGAUCUGGACCUGAGUAAUGAUUGAUAGGGACGGUUGGGGUCAUUCGUACUGCAAAGCGAGAGGUGAAAUUCUUGGACCUUUGUAUGACGAACAACUGCGAAAGCAUUUGGCUAGGACGUUCCCGUUGAUCAAGAACGAAAGUUGGGGGAUCGAAGACGAUCAGAUACCGUCGUAGUCUCAACCAUAAACUAUGCCAACUAGGGAUCGGAAGACGUUAUUUUAUAUCGACUCUUUCGGCACCUUCUGAGAAAUCAAAGUAUUUGGGUCCCGGGGGGAGUAUGGUCGCAAGGCUGAAACUUAAAGGAAUUGACGGGAGGGCACCACCAGGAGUGGAGCCUGUGGCUUAAU
rnacentral:rRNA from 1 species